rnacentral:rRNA from 1 species
CCUACGGGAGGCAGCAGUGAGGAAUAUUGGUCAAUGGGCGUAAGCCUGAACCAGCCAAGUCGCGUGAGGGAUGAAGGUUCUAUGGAUCGUAAACCUCUUUUAUAAGGGAAUUAAGUGCGGGACGUGUCUAGUAUUGUAUGUAUCUUAUGAAUCCGGAUCGGCUAACGCCGUGCCAGCAGCCGCGGUAAUCCGGAGGGUCCGAGCGUUAUCCGGAUUUAUUGGGUUUAAAGGGUGCGUAGGCGGCCUUGUAAGUCAGCGGUGAAAGCCUGAGGCUCAACCAUAGAAUUGCAGUUGAAACUGGGAGGCUUGAGUAUGUUUGAGGCAGGCGGAAUGCGUGGGGUAGCGGUGAAAUGCGUAGAUAUCAGGCAGAACCCCGAUGGCGAAGGCAGCCUGCCGAGCCAUGACUGACGCUGAUGCACGAAAGCGUGGGGAGCAAACAGGAUUAGAUACCCUAGUAGUC